CUGAAUAUGAGGGGGAUCAGCGAUAGGGACUACGCAUACGCCAAAGAGGUAUGGAAUGUCAUUACCCCAGAGGGUGAUAACGUUACCAUGGGAGACUACCAUGACAUCUACCUAACAAUAGAAGUACUGCUAUUGGCUGACGUAUUCGAGACAUUUCGAGGCGUCUGCCUGGACAAUUACAAGCUUGAUCUCGCACACUUUUACAGCGCACCUGGUCUGGCCUGGAAAGCAGCGCUGAAAUAUACCGGAAUCAGGCUAGAGCUUCUUACAGACGUCGACAUGCUCCUGAUGUUCGAGAAGGGUAUAAGAGGAGGUAUAACUCAGGCCGUACACCGGUAUGCAAAAGCUAACAAUAAGUUGAGGAGCGGAUGAGGAGUCCUCCUACCUGCAUUAUGACACUGUGCUAUGUGUGGCCGAUAAGAACGAUCCUCACGAGCAUGGAAAAAAAGGUAUACAUAGGCAUUAAAUGAUCCGAUGCCAGCGUAGACAACUUAGUGCAAGAAUAAGCACCCUAAGGGCAAUGUACCCCGAGAUGACCGUGAGAAAACCGGAAUGCGAUAAUCCGAAUGCCGUACAUGCCUGGUGUCGAUUCAGAGAUGAUACCCUAGGUACCGAUAAUUGUUACCUAAAUCACUUCACGCUACCCGAGGGUGAUACACAGGAUUUAUUCGAGGGAAUGUUCGACAUUGAUAUGUCGUAAGUAUACGCUAAAUUUUAACUAAUUGCAAAAGUAGUUAAAAUUAUAGUUAAAAUUGAGGGUGUUUACCACUCUUUAACAUGUUCCGGUGCUACCUGAACAUCCACCGGGAUCAGCAUCAACUCUUCUGACACAAAGCUCCUUUUAGGUACAUCUUUCAGGUAGUAUGAGGCACGGCUACCUGCUAUUAUACGGUCCAACCUAUACAUCUUUUUACUCCCCCAGGCAUCAGUGGCGCGUCGUUUCGCAUCACCGUGCUCUUCCUUGGGUUGCAAGAGGUAUAAAUACAAUCCAUCCCCAGGUAAUAAGGCUUUCUCUUUGGGAUAUUCCUCGCUUUUUGAGAGUGGUACUUCAUCCAUCCUAAUUGCAUUGUUGGGCUUCAUGUUUAUCAUGGUAGUUUUGGUAUUAUUAAGACCCUUCACGAUGGUAUACAAGUGUUUAACCCAGGUGCUACUAGUCUCAUCAGAAGCCAACUCUUGGGCAUCUUGUGGCUUAAAAAGUCUUUCGGCAAUUACCUUAUUGUACGACUCUACAAAGGCCGUGAAUGUAUGGUGAUAUUUGGUAGUGGCCCUCCUAAUUUCAACCCCUUUACCCUCCAGCAGCCAUUGUCGCAUUUGAAGGUUUUGGGGUACUGUGGAGGUCCGGCUUUGUAGAUAUCCUUGAUCAUAUCCGCGACAUCGCCGGCUUUUUUUGUACGCAACGGUCUUGCUACUUUAUAGCUUAAAGGCACGUCAAUACCUGUCAGUAUGUAUUUGUAGGUGUUUCCAUAUACCCUGUUGUGAGGCAUACAGUAGAUCGAAUUGGUGCAUCUCAUUCGGUGUCGUAAUGGUAAAAUGGGGAUAAUCGAUCUUUUUAGGACCUCGAAUGUGCCUGAGCCAGGGCAGCUGCUUGGAUAGCCAAUGAAUUACCUUCUUUUUGGAGAGACCACUCUCCUUCUUAAGGAGUUUGAUAGCCUUUCGUCCGAUCCAGAGAUGUUUCAGUGUAUAGUAGAUAUCGCUCAGCUUUUCCGCAUCUUCUUCGGUAAUAUGUGGUGAUUUUUCUGACAU